GACCGACCUCUGGGUCUUGCUCGUCUCCCUCCGUAUCCGAAUCAGAUUCGGAAUCGGGAAGCUGGUUCUGGUUGGACGGUCCAGACCUGUCUGGAGAGGUUCUUCUGGCCAUUGCCAUUUUCCUAUCGAUCUACAAGCAGCCGGGAGGGGAGCAGACUCCAUCCCGGAUCCACCGUCACCAAAGGAAAGAGCCGUCAUGGAGUUUGAAUCCCGC